UACAGAGGUCUCAAGCGUUGUUCGGAUUCAUUGGGCGUAAAGGGUGCGUAGGCGGCGCGGUAAGUCGGGGUGUGAAAUCUCGGAGCUUAACUCCGAAACUGCAUUCGAUACUGCCGUGCUUUGAGGACUGGAGAGGAGACUGGAAUUUACGGUGUAGCGGUGAAAUGCGUAGAUAUCGUAAGGAAAGACCAGUGGCGAAGG
rnacentral:rRNA from 1 species